UCUUGCGAGCGCGAGCACUUGUGCCACCGCGGGCAUUUUCAGAAGACUUUAUAGAUAUUUAAUUCCACAGUCUAUAAAUAUGUAAGCAAAACACUGUAAUGGUAAUGCUUAAAGUGUUGUCAGGUGGCAAUUGCAGCAAAAUAAACCCUUUUAAAUUAGCCGCUAAUUUAACUUGUCUCAUUCUGAAGGCCCGUAAGUUAAACAUGAUGGCGCAAGCAACCGCGAAGACUGAAGAUAUUAAUUCUGUAUACUACUAAAGACUGAAGAUAUUAAUUCUGUAUAUUACUAAAGACUGAAGAUAAUACCACCGCGAUAGAUUGUGCAUAUGCUAAGAACAUGCUUAAGCAGAAGUGUCAUCGGGACUAUAAUGGAUUAUGCAUUUUUCUUUCAUGUGGUCGAAUUAUGGUCACCGUAGCCACCCGGAUCCAGUCCAUAUCCAGAUCAGAUGGAGACAACCUCUAUAGCCCUGAAUGUCAGCAGAGACCAUGUCAACUUCAUGAGCCCCAAAGACAGAUCUCAAGUGAAGGCCUCAUCAACUAUACGGCCUUUGGCACAAAACCUCAGCAAAGACCACGAUAACAAUUGGUUUGUCUGGCUAGAGGAGAACUGGCCCCCCGACUGAGCCUGCUUUCUUCCAAGGUUUUUUCUCCAUUUCUGUCACCUUUGGCUUGCUUAUUUGGGGACACUUAAUUUUUGGGAAUAUUAAAGACUUGUUUGCAGAGACACUAUUUGAAGAGACUUGAACAUAGCUGGAUGAUGAUGACAUCACUGAAUCAACGAUGAACUGACUUUAACUGAAAUAUUGACAUAUAUGUAUAUGUUUACAUUUGUUCUCUUUUUAGAGCUGCUUUACUGCAUAACUGAAUUUUUUUGCAUUAUUGACGCUAUUUUCCCGUUUAACAAUGUAAAGCUGCUUUGACACAAUCUGUAUAUUAUGAAGUGCUAUAUAUAAAUAAGGGUGAGUUGACUUGCUUUUGACAAUUCUUCAUAGAAAUGUUUGUGUGCAGUCUGUUUUGAACAAUUUUGUAUUUUUGAGAAUUGUAUUAGUAGCCUUCAAUGUGAAAGA